UGAGAUAUAGCUCAGUGGUAGGGUCUCACACUUACUAAGCGUGAGACCUUGGGUUUAAUCCCCAGCACCAUAA
rnacentral:tRNA from 1 species